AAAGUGCGAUAUUUAGUGCCUUGUGCACGGAUCGGGCGCUAAGUCUUCGAAUGCAAAUCGUUCUGUCCAGGCCAUGCUGGCAGAGCGCCUGCUUCAGGGUUGUUAAUUUUUUGCUGGCUCCCAUGCGGAUGUCCGGCUCUCUUAGAUGGAUCACUGAGACAUUGGUGUUCCAACUUAGUGCCCUAGCACGUUGCUACCGCUUUCCAUACCCAUUCACUCCGUUGUGUUGGCCCGUCCUUCCUUCGUCGUGGUGUGGAGGCGGUGCGAUUGCUAUACUAGGAGGCAACCUGAAGUCAGGUGUGGCUACCCGCUGAACUUAA
rnacentral:misc_RNA from 1 species